rnacentral:rRNA from 1 species
AUACGUAGGGGGCAAGCGUUGUCCGGAAUUAUUGGGCGUAAAGGGCGUGUAGGCGGUCAUGCAAGUCAGUUGGUAAAUACAACGGCUCAACCGUAGUGGUUCAAUUGAUACUGCAUGGCUUGAGUGCAGGAGAGGAGAGUAGAAUUCCAAGUGUAGCAGUGAAAUGCGUAGAUAUUUGGAGGAAUACCAGUGGCGAAGGCGGCUCUCUGGACUGUAACUGACGCUGAGGCGCGAAAGCUGGGGGAGCAAACAGGAUUAGAUACCCUGGUAGUCCCAGCCGUAAACGAUGAACACUAGGUGUAGGGGGGUUAACACCCAUCUGUGCCGGAGCAAACGCAAUAAGUGUUCCGCCUGGGGAGUACGGCCGCAAGGUUGAA